GACGAACGCUGGCGGCGUGCUUAACACAUGCAAGUCGAACGGAUAGGCCCCUUUGGGGGUACUCGAGUGGCGAACGGGUGAGUAACACGUAAGUAACCUGCCCUUGACUUCGGGAUAACUUCAGGAAACGGGGGCUAAUACCGGAUAGGAAUCCUUGCUGCAUGGUGGUGGUUGGAAAGCUUCGGCGGGUUUGGAUGGACUCGCGGGUUAUCAGCUUGUUGGUGGGGUAGUGGCUUACCAAGGCUUUGACGGGUAGCCGGCCUGAGAGGGCGACCUGCCACAUUGGGACUGAGAUAAGGCACAGACUCCUACGGGAGGCAGAAGUGGGGAAUAUUGAACAAUGGGCGGAAGCCUGAUGCAGCAACGCCGCGUGCGGGAUGACGGCCUUAGGGUUGAAAAACGAUUUCAGAAGGGGCGAAGCUUGUGGUGACGGUACCUGCAGAAGAAGCAACGGCUAACUACGUG
rnacentral:rRNA from 1 species